UACGGGGGGGGCAAGCGUUGUUCGGAAUUACUGGGCGUAAAGGGCUCGUAGGUGGCCAACUAAGUCAGACGUGAAAUCCCUCGGCUUAACCGGGGAACUGCGUCUGAUACUGGAUGGCUUGAGUAUGGGAGAGGAAAGCGGAAUUCCUGGUGUAGCGGUGAAAUGCGUAGAUAUCAGGAGGAACACCUGCGGUGUAGACGGCUUUCUGGACCAUCACUGACGCUGAGACACGAAAGCGUGGGUAGCAAACAGG
rnacentral:rRNA from 1 species